rnacentral:rRNA from 1 species
CAGAUUGAACGCUGGCGGCAUGCCUAACACAUGCAAGUCGAACGGGAGUAGCAAUACUCUAGUGGCGGACGGGUGAGGAAUACGUAGGAAUUUGCCCUUAAGUGGGGGAUAACCCGGGGAAACCCGGAUUAAUACCGCAUGACCUCGAAAGAGCAAAGUGGGGGAUCGCAAGACCUCACGCUUUUGGAGAAGCCUACGUCGGAUUAGCUAGUUGGUGAGGUAAUGGCUCACCAAGGCGACGAUCCGUAACUGGUCUGAGAGGAUGAUCAGUCACACCGGAACUGAGACACGGUCCGGACUCCUACGGGAGGCAGCAGUGGGGAAUAUUGGACAAUGGGCGCAAGCCUGAUCCAGCAAUGCCGCGUGUGUGAAGAAGGCCUUCGGUUGUAAGACGA